rnacentral:lncRNA from 1 species
GGCAGCUGCUCCCCCCACCCCCCAUGGUUGUUGAGGGCUGGCGCUGUGUCCUUGCUUCCUCACAGGUAGCCCUGAAGUAGCUUUGAAAUGAAUGCUAAAAUACUUUGCCUCCCAAGUUUGCAAUGUUGAUUCUUUCAGGAAGCUCACAAGAUGGUGAGAGAGGCGAACGUCAAGCAGGCAACUGCAGAAAAGCAGCUGAAGGAAGCUCAAGGGAAAGUGAGUCUCGGAGCUUUCCUUAUGGACGGGGAGACCGUGGGGAGACUAGUCAUGAGUGCCCUGACGCCCUUGGCGGCUGUUGUUACUGGAGAAGCAGCACUUAUGUCAUACUCGGAAGCUGCAGAACCACGAGUGAGCACAAGGCACAUACUGCACCAGUAACCCUGGACGCUGGUGUGUAUUCUACCACAGCCAGCUUGCUUCCCGCCGCGUACACGCAGAGGAUGUUACAGUCCUCUUGGAAAGUUACGUUUGUUUUCUUAGUUCACUGGGAAAAAAGUCACCUCAGUAAACUUGAUUAUCUUAGGAGCAAACUAAAGGUAAUGGUAAACUGAUACAUUUUAAUGUUUUGGGAACUCAUACUAGUGUUAGGUAUUUAAAAUGUUCCUUUUGACAUUAUUGGCAGUAGAAUCAAAGCAUACGGAGACCCAGAAAACUUGGAUUACUUUCCCCUCAUUACUUCAUAGAAAAAUAACAAAUUAAAUGUAUUUUCUGUUCUUGCAAGUGUUUUUUGCCAAAUUGCUAACAUUGGUCACUUCUGCCAUAAAGCGUGUGCGUGUGACGGUGCUGCUUUCUU